UUUGCCACACGGCUUCAGACAUGCGCAGUGCUGCCCCUUUCUAAGGGCAGGGACGAAGGACUGCGGACCUGACAGUUCUUGGGCUUGAGUCCAGCGGCAAGCUCCCUCCUGAGUGUCUGAAACCGUCAGUUCACUGCCUCAUGUGAAAGUACCCAGUUCUUGGUAACCUGACACUUCCCUUUUAAAAGCCACCUUUUCUCUAUCUCUGGCCUGCCACGAUUCUUCCUGUGCUCCAUAGGAGGACCCAUUGGAUCCCCGGGCUGGCUGCAGGGCCCACACCUGGGUUAGACCUCUCACAGGGACGCUGCUGCCACUGUAAUAAAGCGUGCCUACACGCUUCUGAAACUGGUGAAGGCACAACCUCAGUUCUGUGAAAGGCGGACACAGCAGGACAGAAUCUCCGUGGACAUCUGUCUGGAGGAGGAAUUUUACUGCGACAUUUUAAAGAAACAAAUUUAAUCGAUUUCCAAGGGUGUCCGUCGUGCUUCCUUCACUGCCUUGAUCAUGUUGGGGUCACCACCUGCGGGGGUUUGUCCUGCAAACCCUGACUGAACGUCGGAUGAAUAAUGUACACUGACACAGAUCUUAUGCUUGUCAGUCCUGCUGAGCAUCCAGGCCACUUACAGACUCCAAGAAGAGUCCUGUCAGCCACGGCUCUGACUUGUUGGCCCUCCCGGCAUUUAUUUAGCACACAUUUAAUGACAGAAGUCUCAGGUUGGAAACACUUUUACUGUAUUAUCUACGAAGAAACGUUUAUGAGGCCAUUAAGUCCUAUACUGAAAAACUG
rnacentral:lncRNA from 1 species